rnacentral:rRNA from 1 species
AGAGUUUGAUCCUGGCUCAGGAUGAACGCUAGCGGCAGGCUUAAUACAUGCAAGUCGAGGGGCAUCAGGGUGUAGCAAUACACUGCUGGCGACCGGCAAACGGGUGCGGAACACGUACACAACCUUCCUUUGAGUGGGGGAUAGCCCAGAGAAAUUUGGAUUAAUACCCCGUAAAAUUAUGAGAUGGCAUCAUUUUAUAAUUAAAGCUCCGGCGCUUGGAGAUGGGUGUGCGGCUGAUUAGGUAGUUGGUGAGGGUAACGGCCCACCAAGCCAACGAUCAGUAACUGGUGUGAGAGCACGACCAGUCACACGGGCACUGAGACACGGGCCCGACUCCUACGGGAGGCAGCAGUAAGGAAUAUUGGUCAAUGGACGCAAGUCUGAACCAGCCAUGCCGCGUGGAGGAUGAAGGUCCUCUGGAUUGUAAACUUCUUUUAUCUGGGAAGAAAUGCAUUUUUUCUAAAGUGUUUGACGGUACCAGAUGAAUAAGCACCGGCUAACUCCGUGCCAGCAGCCGCGGUAAUACGGAGGGUGCAAGCGUUAUCCGGAUUCACUGGGUUUAAAGGGUGCGUAGGUGGGCAGUUAAGUCAGUGGUGAAAUCUCCGGGCUUAACCCGGAAACUGCCAUUGAUACUAUCUGUCUUGAAUACCGUGGAGGUGAGCGGAAUUAUGUCAUGUACCGGCGAAAUGCUUAAUAUGACAUA